GAACGCACAUUGCGCCCCUCGGUAUUCCGUGGGGCAUGCCUGUUCGAGCGUCAUUUACACCCUCAAGCUCUGCUUGGUGUUGGGCGCCUGUCCCGCUCCCGCAGCGCGGACUCGCCCUAAAGUCAUUGGCGGCGGUCGUGCCGGCCCCUCGCGCAGCACAAAUGCGCUUCUCGGAGGCCCGGCGGAUCAGCGCUCCAGCAAGACACCUUCAUGACUUGACCUCGGAUCAGGUAGGGAUACCCGCUGAACUUAAG
rnacentral:misc_RNA from 1 species